UGGCCUCCCCAUUUAUUCACAAUGCAAUUUAUAGUUCCUUGACGUAAAUAAAGUAACGACUAGUAAUAAAAAGUUAAACAAUAGUCAAACUUUUAAAUUUUUUAUUUCCGAAUCCGAACGUAUUAUUAUUAUGUUCACGUUUUGUUGUAAGUUUCCAAUAGGUAUUUUUUAUGUAAUCUGUUGACUUUUGACAUUCACGAUUUCGCGAUUGCACGUCUCGUGAGUUGAAGUAGACUGUUAUUGUAAAAGUAUCCAAUUGUAUGUAAGAAAUGUGAAUAAACAGUGCAUAUUGCAUAGUUGCAAUAAAUAAGUGCAUCAAAAUGUAUCGUAAAAUAGUGUGGUGUUACGUAUUUGUAUUGACGUUAUUGGAUAUAUCACUGAACACUAAGCUGACAGCUCAGGGAAAGAGUCAUGGUGUAACAGUACAUGAUUCCCUCAUUGAGGGAAUAACUUUUCAGGAAUGGGGAAAGGAGUCCGGUGCGGAGGGGGGCGCGGGCGCGGGGCGCGGG